AGUCUGCCUCUGCUUCUCCGGCCCCACCCAUUCCCGUCCCAUUCUCUGUUCCUCUUCCUCUUUCUCUCCCUCUCCAACCCCAUCUUUUGUUUGAAAAGUUUCAAGUAGAAGGGAUUCCGGGUUCCCAGCCAAGUCACCGCAUAACGAGCGCAGGAUAGUGGACACCAUGUCUCCAUCUCUGCCUUUGAUCAGAAAGCUCAGAAGAGGAGUUCCCAUGUGGCUCAGCGGUCACCGGGGCUCCGUUUAUUAAACUGUUGCUCCAGGGCAC
rnacentral:lncRNA from 1 species